rnacentral:rRNA from 1 species
CGCGCAGGCGGUCGAUCAAGUCGAGUGUGAAAGCCCCCGGCUCAACUGGGGAGGGUCAUUCGAUACUGAUCGACUCGAAGGCAGGAGAGGGUAAUGGAAUUCCCGGUGUAGUGGUGAAAUGCGUAGAUAUCGGGAGGAACACCAGUGGCGAAGGCGACUACCUGGCCUGUUCUUGACGCUGAGGCGCGAAAGCUAGGGAGCAAACG